rnacentral:misc_RNA from 1 species
AACGCACCUUGCGCUCCUUGGUAUUCCGAGGAGCAUGCCUGUUUGAGUGUCAUGAAAUCUUCAACCUACAAUCUCUUUGCGGUUUUUGUAGGCUUGGACUUGGAGGCUUGUCGGUCUUUUAUUGAUCGGCUCCUCUCAAAUGCAUUAGCUUGGUUCCUUUGCGAAUCGGCUGUCGGUGUGAUAAUGUCUACGCCGCGACCGUGACGCGUUUGGCGAGCUUCUAACCGUCCCGUUAUUGGGACAACUCUUAUGACCUCUGACCUCAAAUCAGGUAGGACUACCCGCUGAACUUAA